UCUUUUGAGAAUGGUCACCGUAAGUGGCAUGAUUUGGUAACCGGAGGUCCUGAGCACAAAGGUUCUCAAACCUGAACAGAUAUCGGAACCACCCACCUGGAGGGCUGGGCACACUGAUUGUUUCCCGAGUUUCUAACUGAGUCGGCACAAAGUCGUGGCUUUGCCAUCUGACGGAGGACGCGCAGCGGUCGUCUCUGGCUGGGUAGACUGAGACCUGAACGCUGAGGGACUUAGGACCAGCAGUGCCGUCCAGGCCUGGCUGCAGACGGAAACUACUUCAAGAUAAGCUCCACCAAAAAUAGAGAGGAAAUCAAGAAGAUUAAGACGCAGGAUCCAGCGCAACGCUCCAGCACAGGAGAGACCAAAAGAACGUUUGACAAUCCACUGACUUCCUAGAAAACAGAAGAGUGGGCUGGGCAUGGUGGCUCACGCCUGUAAUCCCAGCACUCUGGGAGGCUGAGGUGGGUGGAUUACCUGAGAUCA
rnacentral:lncRNA from 1 species